rnacentral:tRNA from 1 species
GCCUUCGUGGUGUAAUGGCCAGCACACUCGGCGUGAAUUCAAGAGGCCUGAGGUUCGAGUCCUGGCGACGGCU